rnacentral:rRNA from 1 species
GUUUGGUAGAUCGUAGGGAUUGUCGCUGGCCUUUGGAAACGAAGGCAUGUGCACGUUCCGAGUUCUCCUUAGUCCUCCUUUGCCUUUCCUUUGGAAAACCCUUUCUUCACACCCGUGCACCCAUUGUAGGUCUCCGCGAGGGGAUCUAUGUCUUCACACAAACACUACGUAUGUCUAGGAAUGUAUCUAAAAGCGUCGAACGGCUUGGCUUCGUGCCCGGUCGGCGACGGUAAAGAACCAUAAUACAACUUUCAGCAACGGAUCUCUUGGCUCUCGCAUCGAUGAAGAACGCAGCGAAUUGCGAUAAGUAAUGUGAAUUGCAGAUUUUCAGUGAAUCAUCGAAUCUUUGAACGCACCUUGCGCUCCUUGGUAUUCCGAGGAGCAUGCCUGUUUGAGUGUCAUUUAAUUCUCAACCAUCCCUCGAUUCGUUUCGAGGGUUUGGCUUGGAUUUUGGGGGCUGCCGGGCGACCCUAGGGUCUUCGGCUCUCCUUAAAAGCAUUAGCGAUGGCGGCGCGAUCUAACCCCCAUGCAUGAACGGCCUUCGACGUGAUAAUGAUCGUCGUGGCUGGAGUGUUGUUAGUGGAUGUCGCGAAGUCGGCGCUUCUAAAGACCUCGUCGAAA